rnacentral:lncRNA from 1 species
GCAAGGGACCUUAAGGUCAUCUAGUCCAACUCCCCUCAUUCUACUGGUAAGAAAAGAGGAACCGGAAAGGGGAAGGAAAUUGUCCAAAUCCACACAGAAGCUGACACUACAAUUCUAUCUGAAUGCGUCUAGGCCCUCAAGACUGCCAAGCAAACAUCUCAUGAAAGGUUGGUGAUCACCGUAAUAAAGCCUACU